rnacentral:rRNA from 1 species
UACGUAGGGCGCAAGCGUUGUCCGGAAUUAUUGGGCGUAAAGAGCUUGUAGGCGGUUUGUCGCGUCUGCUGUGAAAAUCCGGGGCUCAACCCCGGACUUGCAGUGGGUACGGGCAGACUAGAGUGUGGUAGGGGAGACUGGAAUUCCUGGUGUAGCGGUGAAAUGCGCAGAUAUCAGGAGGAACACCGAUGGCGAAGGCAGGUCUCUGGGCCACUACUGACGCUGAGAGACGAAAGCUAGGGGAGCGAAUGGG